rnacentral:rRNA from 1 species
GAUGAACGCUGGCGGCGUGCCUAAUACAUGCAAGUCGAGCGAACAGACGAGGAGCUUGCUCCUCUGACGUUAGCGGCGGACGGGUGAGUAACACGUGGAUAACCUACCUAUAAGACUGGGAUAACUUCGGGAAACCGGAGCUAAUACCGGAUAAUAUAUUGAACCGCAUGGUUCAAUAGUGAAAGACGGUUUUGCUGUCACUUAUAGAUGGAUCCGCGCCGCAUUAGCUAGUUGGUAAGGUAACGGCUUACCAAGGCGACGAUGCGUAGCCGACCUGAGAGGGGGAUCGGCCACACUUGAACUGAGACACGCUCCAGACUCCUACGGGAGGCAGCAGUAGGGAAUCUUCCGCAAUGGGCGAAAGCCUGACGGAGCAACGCCGCGUGAGGGAUGAAGGUCUUCGGAGCGUAAAACUCUGUUAUUAGGGAAGAACAAAUGUGUAAGUAACUAUGCACGUCUUGACGGUACCUAAUCAGAAAGCCACGGCUAACUACGUG